CACGUAGGGCGCAAGCGUUGUCCGGAAUUAUUGGGCGUAAAGAGCUCGUAGGUGGUUUGUUACGUCUGCUGUGAAAACCUAGGGCUUAACCCUGGGCUUGCAGUGGAUACGGGCAGACUAGAGGUAGGUAGGGGAGAAUGGAAUUCCUGGUGUAGCGGUGAGAUGCGCAGAUAUCAGGAGGAACACCGGUGGCGAAGGCGGUUCUCUGGGCCUUACCUGACACUGAGGAGCGAAAGCGUGGGAGCGAACAGG
rnacentral:rRNA from 1 species